GAUGAACGCUAGCGGCAGGCCUAAUACAUGCAAGUCGAACGGUGUCUUCGGACAUAGUGGCGCACGGGUGCGUAACACGUAUGCAACUUACCUUACAUUGGGGGAUAGCCUUUCGAACGGGAGAUUAAUACCGCAUAAGACAGUAGCUGGGCAUCCAGCAGCUGUUAAAGAUUUAUCGAUGUAAGCUGGGCAUGCGUCCAAUUAGCUAGUUGGUGAGGUAACGGCUCACCAAGGCAAUGAUUGGUAGGGGAACUGAGAGGUCAAUCCCCCACACUGGCACGUGGAUACAGGCCAGACUCCUACGGGAGGCAGCAGUAGGGAAUAUUGGGCAAUGGACGCAAGUCUGACCCAGCCAUGCCGCGUGCAGGAUGAAGGCGUUAUGCGUUGUAAACUGCUUUUAUACAGGAAGAAACGACUCUUGCGAGAGGCAUUGACGGUACUGUAUGAAUAAGCACCGGCUAACUCCGUGCCAGCCGCCGCCGUAACAC
rnacentral:rRNA from 1 species